AGAUUGAACGCUGGCGGCAUGCCUUACACAUGCAAGUCGAACGGCAGCACGGGGGCAACCCUGGUGGCGAGUGGCGAACGGGUGAGUAAUGCAUCGGAACGUGCCCAGUAGUGGGGGGAUAACUAGUCGAAAGAUUAGCUAAUACCGCAUACGACCUAUGGGUGAAAGCGGGGGAUUCGCAAGAACCUCGCGCUAUCGGAGCGGCCGAUGUCUGAUUAGCUAGUUGGCGGGUAAAAGCCACCAAGGCUUCGAUCAGUAGCUGGUCUGAGAGGACGACCAGCCACACUGGGACUGAGACACGGCCCAGACUCCUACGGGAGGCAGCAGUGGGGAAUUUUGGACAAUGGGCGCAAGCCUGAUCCAGCCAUGCCGCGUGCGGGAAGAAGGCCUUCGGGUGUAAACCGCUUUUGGCAGGAACGAACGGCGCGAGCGAAUAUCUGCGUUAAUGACGGUACUGCAGAAUAAGCACCGGCUAACGUACGUGCCAGCAGCCG
rnacentral:rRNA from 1 species